CCCCGCGCCCGGCGCGGUGAGAUCCCCCCUCACCCCCACCCCGGCCGAAGAUUGUUUCGUCAAGCCUUGUACCCGCUGAGCUCCUUAGCAUUCCUAGUGAGAAAUACUUGCUGCAGCUGCCUUGAGCUGCACUGCAAGACUGCAUCUGUGUAAUACCCUCUAUUAAAACAUCCAGAAAUCAUCAGACAUAUGAUGAAGAAAAAAAGACUAGACAUCCUUGGACUAAUAUGAUGUAAAAAUUGCCUUUUUUUUUUUUUUUUUAGCAACCUUAAUUCAAAUAACAAAGAGUUGUUCCAUUGCAUUUUAAUUAUCAGAGGAACUUAUUUAUUGAAAUGGCUAUCCUUCCAAUAUUGAAAAUAUUUGCAUUUUUAAAGACAGUAAUUUCAUUCUAACUAUUAUAGGAAAAGUAGCUUCUUCUAGGUGAUUAGGUUUGAAAAGACAUUUAAUAUGCCUUUAUGCAAUCUGUUUAUUUCCAUGAUUGAUGCUUUCUAGGCCAUCUUUUCUAUUUUAAAAAUAUUAUAUUCUUCCAAUAAGUGUAAUAUUUUAUAUUAUGAUGUUCUUCAAAUAAACAGAUUUCAAGAACUAAGGCUUAUAGUUAGAAUGUUGUGGUUUUGAAAUGUUUGUAUUAGUCUGAUUCUUACUAAUAGAUGUUUUAUCCUUGCGAAGGAAAAUAAAUCAAAUUAUGACAUGAAAUAUAAAAUUACCCUGAGUAAAGUUUUCCACAUAUAUCUUGUGUCUGUUAUGUAAACAUUGAAAGCUGUAUGAUUAUCUCAUGUAUGUUUUCCAUUUGGAAGCUACAAAAGCUUUCCCUGAGUAUGCUACUAUACUUAGCUCCAAAAUUUAAGGAAAAUAGCCCUUCGAAGUUUUCUGAAUAUGAUGUUUCUGUCAUUUUGACUGACCUUUGACAAUAUUUGUAGUUUAUUUUUCAAAGACCUAAUUUGAAGAUGGCUGCCUUUGAACUAAUUUAUAACUAUGAGUCUGUUUUAAGAAAAUAUGUAUUAAUUGCUAAAAAUUAAAACUUCUCUUAAGCAAAAAUAAACUUUUUUUUUAACAGUGGAUGUUAAAUUGAAUUUUACUUAGUUUUUUAAAUGUAAUAAUCCUAUAACAUUUUAAUUUCUUUAAACAUAAAAUAAAUUUCGGGAUUUUGAUAACUGUAGGGUUAUUAAGUCAUUUAUUGUGCAUGUAUAUACAGAAAGACUGCACAUAUCAUAUAUAAAGAAAAUCUUACCUUGAAGUCCUGUAUUUUAGGUUCCAAGAUGAUAGCACUUGCAAUUCUUUUCUCAGCCUUCUCUUUUGCAUAUAAGGAUAGUUCAGAUUCCUUCUAUAUCCCUUCCUAUUUGUUUCUUUUAACUUUUUCGUGGACUUCAAAAAUAAAGUGUCAAUUUAAAAGAUUUUCAUGACUUUUAUAUAAGAAGGCUAACAAAAAUAGUAAAAGUUUGGA